rnacentral:rRNA from 1 species
UACAGAGGUCUCGAGCGUUGUUCGGAUUCAUUGGGCGUAAAGGGCGCGUAGGCGGCGGGGUAAGUCUGGUGUGAAAUCUCGGAGCUCAACUCCGAAAUUGCACUGGAUACUGCUCUGCUAGAGGGCUGGAGAGGAGAUCGGAAUUCACGGUGUAGCAGUGAAAUGCGUAGAUAUCGUGAGGAAGACCAGUGGCGAAGGCGGAUCUCUGGACAGCUCCUGACGCUGAGGCGCGAAAGCCAGGGGAGCGAACGGG